CCUACGGGAGGCAGCAGUGAGGAAUAUUGGUCAAUGGACGAGAGUCUGAACCAGCCAAGUAGCGUGAAGGAUGACUGCCCUAUGGGUUGUAAACUUCUUUUAUAAAGGAAUAAAGUGAGGCACGUGUGCCUUUUUGUAUGUACUUUAUGAAUAAGGAUCGGCUAACUCCGUGCCAGCAGCCUCGGUAAUACGGAGGAUCCGAGCGUUAUCCGGAUUUAUUGUGUUUACAGGGAGCGUAGAUGGGUUGUUACGUCAGUUGUGAAAGUUUGCGGCUCAACCGUAAAAUUGCAAUUGAUACUGGCAGUCUUGAGUACAGUUGAGGUAGGCGGAAUUCGUGGUGUAGCGGUGAAAUGCUUAGAUAUCACGAAGAACUCCGAUUGCGAAGGCAGCUUACUAAACUGCCACUGACAUUGAUGCUCGAAAGUGUGGGUAUCAAACAGGAGUAGAUACCCCAGUAGUC
rnacentral:rRNA from 1 species